rnacentral:snRNA from 1 species
GUGCUAGCUUCGUCAGCACAUGUACUAAAAUUGGAACGAUACAGAAAAGAUUAGCAUGGCUCCUGUGCAAGGAUGACACGCAAAUUCAUGAAGCAUUCCAUGUUUUC